rnacentral:rRNA from 1 species
UACGUAGGGGGCAAGCGUUGUCCGGAUUUAUUGGGCGUAAAGAGCUCGUAGGCGGCUUAGUAAGUCGGGUGUGAAAACCCCAGGCUCAACCUGGGGACGCCACCCGCAUACUGCUAUAGCUAGAGUCCAGUAGGGGAGUGUGGAAUUCCCAGUGUAGCGGUGGAAAUGACGCAGAUAUUGGGAGGAACACCAGCGGCGAAGGCGGCACUCUGGGCUGGUACUGACGCUGAGGAGCGAAAGCGUGGGUAGCGAACAGG